UAUCAAUAAGCGGAGGAAAAGAAACCAACAGGGAUUGCCCUAGUAACGGCGAGUGAAGCGGCAACAGCUCAAAUUUGAAAUCUGGCGCAAGCCCGAGUUGUAAUUUGUAGAGGAUGCUUCUGGGUAGCGGCCGGUCUAAGUUCCUUGGAACAGGACGUCAUAGAGGGUGAGAAUCCCGUAUGUGACUGGCUUGCACCCUCCACGUAGCUCCUUCGACGAGUCGAGUUGUUUGGGAAUGCAGCUCUAAAUGGGAGGUAAAUUUCUUCUAAAGCUAAAUACCGGCCAGAGACCGAUAGCGCACAAGUAGAGUGAUCGAAAGAUGAAAAGCACUUUGGAAAGAGAGUUAAAAAGCACGUGAAAUUGUUGAAAGGGAAGCGCCCGCAACCAGACUUUGCGGCAGUGUUCGGCCGGUCUUCUGACCGGUUUACUCGCUGUCGUGAGGCCAUCAUCGUCUGGGACCGCUGGAUAAGACCUUAGGAAUGUAGCUCCCCUCGGGGAGUGUUAUAGCCUCUGGUGAUGCAGCGCGUCUCGGGCGAGGUCCGCGCUUCGGCAAGGAUGAUGGCGUAAUGGUUGUCGGCGGCCCGUCUUGAAACACGGACCAAGGAGUCUAACAUCUAUGCGAGUGUUCGGGUGUCAAACCCCUACGCGUAAUGAAAGUGAACGGAGGUGGGAACUUUUUGUGCACCAUCGACCGAUCCUGAUGUCCUCGGAUGGAUUUGAGUAAGAGCAUAGCUGUUGGGACCCGAAAGAUGGUGAACUAUGCCUGAAUAGGGUGAAGCCAGAGGAAACUCUGGUGGAGGCUCGCAGCGGUUCUGACGUGCAAAUCGAUCGUCAAAUUUGGGUAUAGGGGCGAAAGACUAAUCGAACCA
rnacentral:rRNA from 1 species